rnacentral:rRNA from 1 species
GACGAACGCUGGCGGCGCGCCUAACACAUGCAAGUCGAACGAGCGAGUGGGAGCUUGCUUUCUCGAGCGAGUGGCGAACGGGUGAGUAACGCGUGAGGAACCUGCCUCAAAGAGGGGGACAACAGUUGGAAACGACUGCUAAUACCGCAUAAGCCCACGUUGCCGCAUGGCACAGAGGGAAAAGGAGCAAUCCGCUUUGAGAUGGCCUCGCGUCCGCUUAGCUAGUUGGUGAGGUAAUGGCCCACCAAGGCGACGACCGGUAGCCGGACUGAGAGGUUGAACGGCCACAUUGGGACUGAGACACGGCCCAGACUCCUACGGGAGGCAGCAGUGGGGAAUAGUGCACAAUGGGGGAAACCCUGAUGCAGCGACGCCGCGUGGAGGAAGAAGGUAGUCGGAUUGUAAACUCCUGUUGUUGGGGAAGAUAAUGACGGUACCCAACAAGGAAGUGACGGCUAACUACGUG